rnacentral:rRNA from 1 species
AGCAUGUGUGUUAGUGGAAGCGUCUGGAAAGGCGCGCGAUACAGGGUGACAGCCCCGUACACAAAAGCGCAUGUGCUGUGAGCUCGAUGAGUAGGGCGGGACACGUGGUAUCCUGUCUGAAUAUGGGGGGACCAUCCUCCAAGGCUAAAUACUCCUGACUGACCGAUAGUGAACCAGUACCGUGAGGGAAAGGCGAAAAGAACCCCGGCGAGGGGAGUGAAAAAGAACCUGAAACCGUGUACGUACAAGCAGUGGGAGCACCCUUCGGGGUGUGACUGCGUACCUUUUGUAUAAUGGGUCAGCGACUUAUAUUCUGUAGCAAGGUUAACCGUAUAGGGGAGCCGGAGGGAAACCGAGUCUUAAUUGGGCGUUAAGUUGCAGGGUAUAGACCCGAAACCCGGUGAUCUAGCCAUGGGCAGGUUGAAGGUUGGGUAACACUAACUGGAGGACCGAACCGACUAAUGUUGAAAAAUUAGCGGAUGACCUGUGGCUGGGGGUGAAAGGCCAAUCAAACCGGGAGAUAGCUGGUUCUCCCCGAAAGCUAUUUAGGUAGCGCCUCGUGAAUUCAUCUCCGGGGGUAGAGCACUGUUUCGGCUAGGGGGCCAUCCCGGCUUACCAACCCGAUGCAAACUGCGAAUACCGGAGAAUGUUAUCACGGGAGACACACGGCGGGUGCUAACGUCCGUCGUGAAGAGGGAAACAACCCAGACCGCCAGCUAAGGUCCCAAAGUCAUGGUUAAGUGGGAAACGAUGUGGGAAGGCCCAGACAGCCAGGAUGUUGGCUUAGAAGCAGCCAUCAUUUAAAGAAAGCGUAAUAGCUCACUGGUCGAGUCGGCCUGCGCGGAAGAUGUAACGGGGCUAAACCAUGCACCGAAGCUGCGGCAGCGAACGUAUCACCCAAGACAACUUUACGGAGUUGACGAUUGACGGAGCGAAGCGACGUCAAAGCGUUCAUUAAAGUCGAGUUGGCUUAGGGAUACGUUCGUUGGGUAGGGGAGCGUUCUGUAAGCCUGUGAAGGUGUGUCGUGAGGCAUGCUGGAGGUAUCAGAAGUGCGAAUGCUGACAUAAGUAACGAUAAAGCGGGUGAAAAGCCCGCUCGCCGGAAGACCAAGGGUUCCUGUCCAACGUUAAUCGGGGCAGGGUGAGUCGACCCCUAAGGCGAGGCCGAAAGGCGUAGUCGAUGGGAAACGGGUUAAUAUUCCCGUACUUGGUGUUACUGCGAAGGGGGGACGGAGAAGGCUAUGUUGGCCGGGCGACGGUUGUCCCGGUUUAAGCGUGUAGGUGUGUGUUCCAGGUAAAUCCGGUUCACUUUAACACUGAGGCGUGAUGACGAGGCACUACGGUGCUGAAGCAACAAAUGCCCUGCUUCCAGGAAAAGCCUCUAAGCAUCAGGUAACAUCAAAUCGUACCCCAAACCGACACAGGUGGUCAGGUAGAGAAUACCAAGGCGCUUGAGAGAACUCGGGUGAAGGAACUAGGCAAAAUGGUGCCGUAACUUCGGGAGAAGGCACGCUGACACGUAGGUGAAGUGAUUUACUCAUGGAGCUGAAGUCAGUCGAAGAUACCAGCUGGCUGCAACUGUUUAUUAAAAACACAGCACUGUGCAAACACGAAAGUGGACGUAUACGGUGUGACGCCUGCCCGGUGCCGGAAGGUUAAUUGAUGGGGUCAGCGCAAGCGAAGCUCCUGAUCGAAGCCCCGGUAAACGGCGGCCGUAACUAUAACGGUCCUAAGGUAGCGAAAUUCCUUGUCGGGUAAGUUCCGACCUGCACGAAUGGCGUAAUGAUGGCCAGGCUGUCUCCACCCGAGACUCAGUGAAAUUGAACUCGCUGUGAAGAUGCAGUGUACCCGCGGCAAGACGGAAAGACCCCGUGAACCUUUACUAUAGCUUGACACUGAACAUUGAGCCUUGAUGUGUAGGAUAGGUGGGAGGCUUUGAAGUGUGGACGCCAGUCUGCAUGGAGCCGACCUUGAAAUACCACCCUUUAAUGUUUGAUGUUCUAACGUGGACCCGUAAUCCGGGUUGCGGACAGUGUCUGGUGGGUAGUUUGACUGGGGCGGUCUCCUCCUAAAGAGUAACGGAGGAGCACGAAGGUUGGCUAAUCCUGGUCGGACAUCAGGAGGUUAGUGCAAUGGCAUAAGCCAGCUUGACUGCGAGCGUGACGGCGCGAGCAGGUGCGAAAGCAGGUCAUAGUGAUCCGGUGGUUCUGAAUGGAAGGGCCAUCGCUCAACGGAUAAAAGGUACUCCGGGGAUAACAGGCUGAUACCGCCCAAGAGUUCAUAUCGACGGCGGUGUUUGGCACCUCGAUGUCGGCUCAUCACAUCCUGGGGCUGAAGUAGGUCCCAAGGGUAUGGCUGUUCGCCAUUUAAAGUGGUACGCGAGCUGGGUUUAGAACGUCGUGAGACAGUUCGGUCCCUAUCUGCCGUGGGCGCUGGAGAACUGAGGGGGGCUGCUCCUAGUACGAGAGGACCGGAGUGGACGCAUCACUGGUGUUCGGGUUGUCAUGCCAAUGGCACUGCCCGGUAGCUAAAUGCGGAAGAGAUAAGUGC